rnacentral:rRNA from 1 species
GGACGAACGCUGGCGGCGUGCUUAACACAUGCAAGUCGAACGGUGAACCAGAGCUUGCUCUGGGGAUCAGUGGCGAACGGGUGAGUAACACGUGGGCAACCUGCCCCAGACUCUGGGAUAACCUCGGGAAACCGAUGCUAAUACCGGAUACGACCACUUCGGACAUCCGACGGUGGUGGAAAGUUUUUCGGUCUGGGAUGGGCCCGCGGCCUAUCAGCUAGUUGGUGGGGUAAUGGCCUACCAAGGCGACGACGGGUAGCCGGCCUGAGAGGGCGACCGGCCACACUGGAACUGAGACACGGUCCAGACUCCUACGGGAGGCAGCAGUGGGGAAUAUUGCACAAUGGGCGAAAGCCUGAUGCAGCGACGCCGCGUGAGGGACGACGGCCUUCGGGUUGUAAACCUCUUUCAGCAGGGACGAAGCGAAAGUGACUGUACCUGCAGAAGAAGCACCGGCUAACUACGUG